rnacentral:rRNA from 1 species
CCUACGGGAGGCAGCAGUGGGGAAUAUUGCACAAUGGGGGAAACCCUGAUGCAGCGACGCCGCGUGAAGGAAGAAGUAUUUCGGUAUGUAAACUUCUAUCAGCAGGGAAGAAAAUGACGGUACCUGACCAAGAAGCUCCGGCUAACUACGUGCCAGCAGCCGCGGUAAUACGUAGGGGGCAAGCGUUAUCCGGAUUUACUGGGUGUAAAGGGAGCGUAGGCGGGUUAGCAAGUCAGAAGUGAAGGCCCGGGGCUCAACCCCGGGACUGCUUUUGAAACUGUUGAACUUGAUUGCAGGAGAGGUAAGUGGAAUUCCUGGUGUAGCGGUGAAAUGCGUAGAUAUUAGGAGGAACACCAGUGGCGAAGGCAGCUUACUGGACUGUAAAUGACGCUGAGGCUCGAAAGCGUGGGGAGCAAACAGGAUUAGAUACCCCUGUAGUC